GACGAACGCUGGCGGCGUGCCUAAUACAUGCAAGUCGAACGCAGUGGGGACGGGUGAGUAACACGUGGCUAACCUCCCAUCAGAGGGGAUAACACUUGGAAACAGGUGCUAAACCGAUACUGAUGGAUGGACCCGCGGUGCAUUAGCUAGUUGGUGAGGUAACGGCUCACCAAGGCCAAGAUGCAUAGCAGACGUGAGAGGGGGAGCGGCAACGCUGGGACUGGGACACGGCCCAGACGCCAACGGGGGGCAGCAGUGGGGAAUCUUCGGCAAUGGACGAAAGUCUGACCGAGCAACGCCGCGUAAGUAAAGAGGGUUUUCGGAUCGUAAAACUCUGUUGUUAGAGAAGCGGUAUCUAACCAGAAAGCCACGGCUAACUACGUGCCAGCAGCCGCGGUAAUUC
rnacentral:rRNA from 1 species